rnacentral:rRNA from 2 species
AAUCAAACCGGGAGAUAGCUGGUUCUCCCCGAAAGCUAUUUAGGUAGCGCCUCGUGAAUUCAUCUCCGGGGGUAGAGCACUGUUUCGGCAAGGGGGUCAUCCCGACUUACCAACCCGAUGCAAACUGCGAAUACCGGAGAAUGUUAUCACGGGAGACACACGGCGGGUGCUAACGUCCGUCGUGAAGAGGGAAACAACCCAGACCGCCAGCUAAGGUCCCAAAGUCAUGGUUAAGUGGGAAACGAUGUGGGAAGGCCCAGACAGCCAGGAUGUUGGCUUAGAAGCAGCCAUCAUUUAAAGAAAGCGUAAUAGCUCACUGGUCGAGUCGGCCUGCGCGGAAGAUGUAACGGGGCUAAACCAUG